UGGGGAAUAUUGCGCAAUGGGGGAAACCCUGACGCAGCGACGCCGCGUGCGGGAUGAAGGCCUUCGGGUUGUAAACCGCUUUCAGCAGGGACGAAGCGCGAGUGACGGUACCUGCAGAAGAAGCGCCGGCUAACUACGUGCCAGCAGCCGCGGUAACACGUAGGGCGCGAGCGUUGUCCGGAAUUAUUGGGCGUAAAGAGCUCGUAGGCGGCCUGUUGCGUCCGCUGUGAAAGCCCGGGGCUUAACCCCGGGUCGGCAGUGGAUACGGGCAGGCUAGAGGUAGGUAGGGGAGAAUGGAAUUCCCGGUGUAGCGGUGAAAUGCGCAGAUAUCGGGAGGAACACCGGUGGCGAAGGCGGUUCUCUGGGCCUUACCUGACGCUGAGGAGCGAAAGCGUGGGGAGCGAAC
rnacentral:rRNA from 1 species